rnacentral:tRNA from 1 species
UGGGAUUUAGCUCAGCGGCAUAAGCGCCUGCCUUGCAAGCAGGCAGUUGUGAGUUCGAUCCCUGGGAUCCCUG